rnacentral:lncRNA from 1 species
CACUCAGCUUUCUGAAAUGGUGUCCCACCGCAAGGACUGGAGAAGGGUAAACCUCAGGUUCUCCUCCUGCCUUUUGCUAAGUAUAUGUCUUGAUGACAAGCCUUCUGCUGAUGAGCUGUGUUUCUGGACCGAUCAUGGUAGAAGUCAAUUAACGUGUCCCUCACUUGGGGUUUCUCAAGGGAGUCUCACUCUGUCGUCCAGGCUGGAGUGCAGUGGCACAAUCUCGGCUCACUGCAAGCUCUGCCUCCCAGGUUCACGCCAUUCUCCUGCCUCAGUCUCCCAACUGCACUGAUGAGGAAACUGAAACAGAAAAUCCAGAGUAAAUUCCACCAGGCCACACAGCAAGGUCUGAUAGAGCCAGGAGAGACUUUAUGAAAUCCAGACUCUCACACUAAUGCUCUAUCAGCUAGACCUCCAUGUGAGUCUCCCCAAUGUAGGUAGGAAGUGCUUUCCCUAAAAUGCUCAUAAAGCAAAUCAGAGCAAUGCUGCAUUCCAUGUGAUUUCUAAUUUGAAAUGCAAACAAUUGCCAAUUUGUUUGACUUGUAUUUAUAAUUAUUUCCUUGUGAAUUACUCAUCACUAAAUGCUUUAUAAAUAUUUUCUCUUUUUUUCCUCAAUGUCUAUGGAAUGAUCACAGCAUAGAAAAUGUUGGCUUUCAAGGAUUUAUUAAUAUCUCCUUUUGAAAUAACAUGUAUUUGUAAGACAGAAUAAAAUCACUUUAAA